UAUACACAAUGGAAUAUUACUCAGCCAUUAAAAGGAUCAAAAUACGGGCAUUUUUAGCAACAUGGAUGGACCUAGAAAUUAUCAUGCUAAGUGAAGUCAGACAAUGAGACACAAACACUAAAUGCUAUCACCUACAUGUGGAAUCUAAAAAGAUGACACAAUGAACUUCUUCACAGAACAAAUACUGACUCACAUACUUUGAAAAACUUAACGAUUUCCAAAUGAGACAGGUUGGGGAGUGGGAGAAUGUACUGAGGGUUUUGGAUGGAAAUGCUAUAAAAUUGGGUUGUGAUGUUUGUUGUACAACUAUAAAUGUAAUAAAAUUCAUUGAGCAAUUAAAAAAAAAUUCCAAAUAGCAGUGGCUUAAACAAGAUAGAAGUCCCUUUUAAGAUGUAAGCAGUCCUGGCCCACAAUUAGCAGGUCACCUUGUUGCCUCCAGUUCUCAAGUGGCUUCUUUUUUAUGGUUCAAGAUAGUUGGUCAAGCUCCAGCAGUUACAUUUAGUUUCAGCCAGUGGAAAAGAAAAAGCGACAAAGACAUGCCGCCUUCAUUUAAGAGCACUUUCCAGAAGUUAACCACACACUCUGCUUACAUUCCAUAUCAAAAAAUUAAGUCAUAUGUUGAUUUUUAACUGUAGAUGAGGGUGGAAAAUGUAUUCUUUAUUCCAGAUAGUCAUAUGCUCAACUGAAAAUCAGCUCUAUGACCAAGGAAGGAGAGAGCAAAUAUUAGGUUCUAAUCAGCCAGAUUAUUUUCUAUUGUUAACUCUAGGUCUGUUGCAUAACUAUGGCAAACUAUUCCUUCCCCAUUUCAAUGGUGAUUUAUUAUUCAGAAGUAAGCGCUGACAUCAUCUCUGUGUUUUAUCCCUUCCAAAAUGGGUCCAGUUUGAUGAAGUGGAAAUUAUUUUUUCCACACAGAAAUUAUGUUGAAUUUAUCUUAAUAACAUUAUUGUCACAUGAGUCCUACAAUGAAAAGACUUAUGAACAUGGGCUUCUGAGGAACACUAGUUUUUAUAAAUGGGUGAGGGUGUGUUUCUUCGAAGUCCUCCUAAUGCUCUGCCUAUAACCAGCUCUAUGUCUGCUUAAAUAACCAGUGGUCUUACACUUUAGUGUACAUGCCAUCAAAUUGCAUGAUAUUGAAUUAAAAUUCAAUAAUAAGAUAAUCGAAGAAGUUUCCCAGCAGAGGUGUCCAUAUGAUUGCCCAGCAGAUGGUAAACUCACUUUCUCUGACUUAGUUAGUCUUGUUCUAAGUCAAUUAGUUUCUUCACAGCACAUCCAGGAUAAGUACAUCAGAAUCCAGCCACUUCUCAAAAAUCUCUCCUGAUAGCCACCAUCAUUUCUCACCUGCAAAAAACCUUCUAAAUGAUCUCAGAACUUCAGUUUAUUUUUCAACACGGAGUAUUAUUUUAAGAAUUAGAAUUAUUUUUUUAACAUAUAAACCAGAGCAUGUCCCCUUUUGGCUCAAAAGCAUCUCAAUAAGAGUAAAUGGCCAGGCCCUUGCUUGUACCUCCAGGACCCUAUCUGACCUGUUGCCAACACUCCUUCACACUAUUGCCCAAACCCUCCAACUUUAUCGCCUACUUCUUUUCUCUGACUCAUGGUGCUCUAACCAAGAAAGACCACAUGGAUGUCAAACACAUCAAGCAUACACCUUCCUCAGGACCUUUGCAUCCUUUUUUUUUCUUCUGAUUAGUAUGCUUUUCUUCCAGUUAUUUGUAUGUCUUGAACCAUUACUUCUUUUUUAGUUCUCUACUCAAAAAUAAUCUUACUUGUGAUAUCUUUUCUUACCAUCCUAAAUAAAAAUAAAAGCUCCUACCAAGACACCAUACUCUUCUCACUUUUCUUCACUGAUCUCUAUAGCAUGUGCCAUUAUAUGAUGCUUCUUAUUGCCUUGCUGACUAAUUUAUUUAUUGCUAUACCUCUUUUGGAAUGUAUGUUCCAUGAGGAUAGGAACUUUGUUUUAUUUGUAGCUGUAUCCCAUUCCUAGAAUAGUAUUUGUCAUGUACUGGUGCUUAAAAACAAUGUAUUUUUAAAUGAAAAAUAGCAAUGUACAUCCCAGAGUUCUUUCAAAGUCCUUGAAGGACAUUGUCUGAUUUUAUUUUUCACUAUAUUUGGUGAAAAGAUACAAAACCUCCUAGAUUUUCUUCACCAUUUGUUUUAGAAGCAUUAGCAGAGUGCUUUGAAAGGCAAGAGACAGACAUUUCCAGACUCAUCAGGUUAUGUACAUUAAAUAUGUACAUCUUUUUAUAUGUCAGUCACACCUCAAUAAAAUGGUUUGUAAAAAAAAAUCACAAUAUAUCAUACUGUUUUAUACAUUAGGACUAGAAAUAUUUAAUUCCAUAACUGCCUCUAUAUGUGAUUAUUGACAGAGGAUAUAGCUAAGUAAAUUUCCUAGUUGGAUGUGUAUAAUGAUUUAUACUGCAUAUUUACUUGUAUACAAAAAUAUAAAUAGAUAAUCCAUGAAUAUUUACUGAAAUGAAAAUGUAGGUGGAAUAAAUAUCUGUUGAAAUUAUUUUCUGAAUCUUUUUUCUAUAGUUUAUGCUUUAAAAUAUAAUUUAACCUUUUGAGAAUAGUAAUGAAUUCUGGAUCUUUUUGUUGUUCUGUACAUAAGACUAGAUUCUAUUGACAUUCAGGUAACUAUGUCUUAGUGACAGCUACCAUAUGUCAUUUAGAUAAAAAUAAGUUAAAAUAUGAAUUGAUAAAGUAAAUUAUAUAAUUAUGAAAAAGAUUUUGAGUAUACAUUGCAUUAUGAAAACUAGGUAUAGUCACAUUAAAAAUAUAUCCAAAUAGUGUUGAUUAAUCCUUCUAUCUUAAACAGAAAGGAAUGUUUUCCUGAAAACAAUAAUGAAAGGCCCUUUGCUUUAUCUUACUCAAUAGAAUUUAGCUGAGUUUGUAGUCGAAAUGAUCACUAAAACUUGGAGGUGAUGCAUGUAAUAAUGACUAACAUUUUUAUUGUUCCAUGUGUUUUAGGUGCUAUACUUUGCUAUACUUUAUUUCAAUCAAUCUCCAUAAAAAUCAUAUAAAAUUUGUUAUUAUGCUGGACUAAAUGUGCAAAAGCUGAAUCUCAGCUAGGGUAACUGGAUUACCCAGCAUCAUAUAACCAGUAAGUGGCAAGGCUGAAACCUGUGUGAUUAGAACAAGGCUGUAACUGCUACUCCAGAAUGUUUUUUAUGGAAGGUAGUAGCUCUCCCAGAAAGAAGAGGCUGAGAAAGAAAUUGGAAGCAAGUUUCAAAGUCUGCCCAGAGUCUAUAACGCAUAUUAAGCUAGGAAAUUAGCAUUUAACCCUGGCUCCAUCAAUAACAAGGUAUGAUCUUAGUUCACUGAGGUUUCUAGUGUAAUAAAAGAGGAUGACAGCAUUAAAUAAGUUCAAUGAAGUAUUCUGUAAUAUUCCUUGGCUCAGUAGUUCUAUGAAUUAUUGUUUUUUAAAAGUAAUGUGAAAUACUGCCUUACACUGGCAAAAAGAAAUCUGGAUGUUUACAUAGUCACAAUUGUAAUAUGAGUCCAUAGUGUAAUAUUCUUGCUGAAAAUGGACAAAUCUUGAGAGUUCAUGAGUAUUGGGAGCAUGUCCAUAAAACAGGAAGUGAUAGCCACACUGAAUUGUGCCUGGGUCAGACAUCCUCAGUGUCCAUUAAAUCUGGACUCAGGAAGAUGGAUGGACUCGCUACAAAUAUGUUGAAUUGGAAUUUCAGGAUCCAAGUCAGGAUGCAAAAUUUGUGUGGAACCGGGCCACAACUAUGAAGGUGUGAUGGUUAACUUUCUGUGUCAACUUGAUUGGGCCGCAAGAUGCCCAGAUAUUUGGCUAAAUAAAUUAUUUCUGGGUGUCUGUGAAAGUGUUUCCAGAUGAAAUGGGCAUUGGAAUCAGUAGACUAGAUUAAGCAGAUGGCCCUCCCCAGUGUGAGUGGACUUCACCCAAUCCAUCGAGGGGCAUCAUUCUAGGUCUUCUCCUGCCUGAGAAUUGAGAUACCUUAGGAUCCCCUGGUUCUCAUGCUUUCAUGAGAUAUGUUAUGAUAAGGUGUGAUAUAUCUAUUUGUUUUGUUUCUCUGGAGAAACUUGACUAAUACAGAAGGUAUCAAAGUAGAAAUUUAGAUCAAAGUGGGUAUCCAAAAAAAGUUUUAUCCAGGAGGACCAAGGCUUUACCCAGAGUCAGCCUUCUCUGUCUCCCACCAGAGCCACACCUGUAACAGGGAAGUGCACAGUUUCAAGGCUCAGUAAUUCAAAAGCAAAAGGAAAGAAAAAUGGACAGAAGGAAGGAAGGGCAGAAGGGAAGGGAGGAGUAAAAAAGGGAGGGGAAAAAGCAGACAAAGAAGUGAAGGACUGAAGUGAACAAUAGAGUAGAUUGUUGGAGGUCCCACUGUGGCACAGCAGAUCAGCAGCAGGAUCUCUGGAGCACUGGGCACAGGUUUGAUCCCCAGCCUGGUACAGUGGGUUAAAAGAUCUGGCAUUGCCGUGAUUGCAGUGUAGGUCAUAACUGCAUCUCAGAUCUGAUCCUUGGCCUAGGAACUACAUAUGAUGUGGGGCAGCCAAAAAAGAAAACAAACAAAAAAUAGAUGGCUUGGGGGAACAAAUGAGCUAAAAAAGAAAGAAAAAGGGAGGAGGGAAGAAAGAAAAGUUUUGGCAGAUUUCUUGGCAUACUGCAUGCUCUGGCUAUGGAAGAAUAUUUGCUAGAGAGCACCUUGCUUGCCGAGAAAUGCUGGGUGAAGGCAGGUGCUCUGAGAGAAAGAAAAAUCUUCUCAUUAGUGACAAUACAGAUUAUUCUAAAUCUUUCCAUGACAUUAUAGGUCACAGAUAUGUUUUGCUACUAGCAAGCUUAAUUGCCAGGAAAAGAUAAUAUUCUCUUGUUAUGGGAAUGUUUUGCUAACAGCAAAAUUAAUUGCUAGGAAAAGAUAAUAAACUCUCUGCCCAAAGCAUAGCUAAAGACACAAAUUGCACACUCUUCUUUAAAAACAUUUCAGCGACUCCAUUGGAUUAAUAGAUUGUAGACUUCCCAGAUUUCUGUUUCUCCCUUC
rnacentral:lncRNA from 1 species